CGCGUAGGCGGUUUGAUAAGUCAGAUGUGAAAGUCCACGGCUCAACUGUGGAAGUGCAUUUGAAACUGUCAGACUUGAGUAUCGGAGGGGAAAGUGGAAUUCCCGGUGUAGAGGUGAAAUUCGUAGAGAUCGGGAGGAACACCGGUGGCGAAGGCGACUUUCUGGACGAAUACUGACACUGAGGCGCGAAAGCGUGGGGAGCAAACA
rnacentral:rRNA from 1 species